AUACGAAGGGUGCAAGCGUUACUCGGAAUUACUGGGCGUAAAGCGUGCGUAGGUGGUUGUUUAAGUCUGUCGUGAAAGCCCUGGGCUCAACCUGGGAAUGGCGAUGGAAACUGGGCGACUAGAGUGUGGCAGAGGGUAGUGGAAUUCCUGGUGUAGCAGUGAAAUGCGUAGAGAUCAGGAGGAACAUCCGUGGCGAAGGCGACUGCCUGGGCCAACACUGACACUGAGGCACGAAAGCGUGGGGAGCAAACAGGAUUAGAUACCCUGGUAGUCCACGCCCUAAACGAUGUGAACUGGAUGUUGGGUGCAAUUUGGCACGCAGUAUCGAAGCUAACGCGUUAAGUUCGCCGCCUGGGGAGUACGGUCGCAAGACUGAAACUCAAAUGAAUUGACGGGG
rnacentral:rRNA from 1 species